ACUCCUACGGGAGGCAGCAGUGGGGAAUAUUGCACAAUGGGCGCAAGCCUGAUGCAGCCAUGCCGCGUGUAUGAAGAAGGCCUUCGGGUUGUAAAGUACUUUCAGCAGUGAGGAAGGUGGGUAUGUUAAUAGCAUAUUCAUUUGACGUUAGCUGCAGAAGAAGCACCGGCUAACUCCGUGCCAGCAGCCGCGGUAAUACGGAGGGUGCGAGCGUUAAUCGGAAUUACUGGGCGUAAAGCGCAUGCAGGUGGUUUGUUAAGUCAGAUGUGAAAGCCCGGGGCUCAACCUCGGAAUUGCAUUUGAAACUGACAAACUAGAGUACUGUGGAGGGGGGUAGAAUUUCAGGUGUAGCGGUGAAAUGCGUAGAGAUCUGAAGGAAUACCGGUGGCGAAGGCGGCCCCCUGGACAGAUACUGACACUCAGAUGCGAAAGCGUGGGGAGCAAACAGGAUUAGAUACCCUGGUAGGAUAGCG
rnacentral:rRNA from 1 species